rnacentral:rRNA from 1 species
UACGUAGGGUGCAAGCAUUAAUCGGAAUUAUUGGGCGUAUAGGGCGCGUAGGCUGUCCUACAAGUCGGUUGUGAAAUCCCAGGGCUCAACCUUGGAACAGCACCCGAAACUGUAAGACUAGAGGGUAGGCGGAGAAAACGGAAUUCCACAAGUAGCGGUGAAAUGCGUAGAUAUGUGGAAGAACACCGGUGGCGAAGGCGGUUUUCUAGCUUAUUCCUGACGAUGAGGCGCGAAAGCAAGGGGAUCAAACAGG